UACGUAGGGGGCUAGCGUUGUCCGGAAUCAUUGGGCGUAAAGCGCGCGUAGGCGGCCCAGUAAGUCCGUUGUAAAAGUCAAAGGCUCAACCUUUGAAAGCCGAUGGAUACUGCUGGGCUAGAGUCCGGAAGAGGCGAGUGGAAUUCCGGUGUAGCGGUGGAAUACGCAGAUAUCAGGAAGAACACCCGUGGCGAAGGCGGCUCUCUGGGACGGUACUGACGCUGAGACGCGAAAGCGUGGGGAGCGAACAGG
rnacentral:rRNA from 1 species